GCAAGUCGAGGGGUAGAGGCCUUCGGGCCUUGAGACCGGCGCACGGGUGCGUAACGCGUAUGCAAUCUGCCUUCCACAGAGGGAUAGCCCAGAGAAAUUUGGAUUAAUACCUCAUAGCAUCAUGACCCGGCAUCGGGAUAUGAUUAAAGUCACAACGGUGGAAGAUGAGCAUGCGUCCCAUUAGCUAGUUGGUAAGGUAACGGCUUACCAAGGCUACGAUGGGUAGGGGUCCUGAGAGGGAGAUCCCCCACACUGGUACUGAGACACGGACCAGACUCCUACGGGAGGCAGCAGUGAGGAAUAUUGGUCAAUGGGCGCAAGCCUGAACCAGCCAUGCCGCGUGCAGGAUGACGGUCCUAUGGAUUGUAAACUGCUUUUGUACGGGAAGAAACCCUCCUACGUGUAGGAGCUUGACGGUACCGUAAGAAUAAGGAUCGGCUAACUCCGUGCCAGCAGCCGCGGUAAUACGGAGGAUCCAAGCGUUAUCCGGAAUCAUUGGGUUUAAAGGGUCUGUAGGCGGUCUUGUAAGUCAGUGGUGAAAGCCCAUCGCUCAACGGUGGAACGGCCAUUGAUACUGCUGGACUUGAAUUAUUGGGAAGCAACUAGAAUAUGUAGUGUAGCGGUGAAAUGCUUAGAGAUUACAUGGAAUACCAAUUGCGAAGGCAGGUUGCUACCAAUGGAUUGACGCUGAUGGACGAAAGCGUGGGUAGCGAACAGGAUUAGAUACCCUGGUAGUCCACGCCGUAAACGAUGGAUACUAGCUGUUGGGCGCAAGUUCAGUGGCUAAGCGAAAGUGAUAAGUAUCCCACCUGGGGAGUACGAACGCAAGUUUGAAACUCAAAGGAAUUGACGGGGGCCCGCACAAGCGGUGGAGCAUGUGGUUUAAUUCGAUGAUAC
rnacentral:rRNA from 1 species